CAUUUAAUUGGAGGUGGCUUACAUCAUGGCAGGAAGCAUGGUGGCACACAGGCAGACACAGUGCUGCUGGAGAAGGAGCUGGAAAUUCUACACCUGGAUCUGUAUGAAGCAAGGAGAGAGAAUGAAUCAAUGGGCCUGGAUUGCAUCUCAAAGCCCACCCACAGUGAUAUCUUCCUCCAACAAGGCUACACCUCCUAACAGUGCCACUCCCUAUGUGCCUAUGGGAGCCAUUUUCGUACAAACCACCACAGGCCUCCUCUACUAUGUGGAACAAAAGCAACAGUACCCAACCUGAAAAUGGGGCAAAUCAAUACUGAAGAGAACUAAAAAG